rnacentral:snRNA from 11 species
AUGAGAGGAACCCACAUAUACUAAAAUUGAAAUGAUACAGAGAAGAUUAGCAUGGCC